GACACCAUAGAAGUCAGCGCUUCUCAGAACUACAGCCUUUUUGCCCCGUUACAUUCUAUCUGUAUUAAUAUCUACAAACUGUCAAUUAAAAAAUUGACAAACUUUUCAACGAAAUUAAAAUCUUUUUAAAAAUCCGAAUGCAUAAAUUAUGUUACUUAUAAUAAGUAAGUAAGAGAUAUCAAUAAAAUGUAAAUUACUUUGUAUUCAAAACUGAGUUUAAUUUUCAAAUUAUAUACGUCAGUGGCUUAAUACAAAAUCGUUUUAAUGUAGAAUGGACUGUUCAUGUGGCGGUAUACAAAAACAAUUAUGUAAUUGCAAUACUUACGUAUACCGCCCAGAUCCGAACGAUACCAAUAUUGUAUUUAUGCCAACUAAAUAUUCCUUAGGAAAACACCAGGAAACCACGUUUAGCAAUUUCUUACGUAAUGGUUUUGAUGUCUGCCUUAGAUAUAACGUAAGGUACUGUGGAUUGCGUAAAUCGUCUGGGAAAAACAGAGCUAUUAAAAAUGCCGUAACAGAUUUAAUACUUUUGCUUUGUUUUCUUCUGACAAAUUCUAUUGUGUUUUUCACGCUUUUAGCAAGAACUACAAUUCAUAUAGGAUAUGUUCUAUUGCGUCUUGUGAUGUAUUUGCAAAGAACCUUUUGUAAAAGAUACCAUCCGUAUGAGGCUGUGGAAUUCGAUCGAGAAUAAUACAGUGUUUAAGGAAUAUGCAAUAAAAUAAAGCAAAAAAAAUGAUACGUAUGGUUAUUUGUAAUAAAUUAUACGUAUAA